UGAGAGGUAAAAAUUUAUUGACUUAUACCAUAUCAGCAUGUUAUGAUAUGGUCACACAUGCUCAUACAGCUGACUUUUUCUUAUAGCCAAAAGAGGAAAUUUUUUCCUUUUAAAAAUACAUUAUCUUUUUCAGCAGGAAGAAACAUUUUCUAAAAACAAACAUUUUCACAGAUGUUAAUGCCUAAAUUUCUCCAGUAAAAUACAAACACCCCAUUCCCACUACUAAGAAUUAAAAGCACUUUACUUGAAAAAAAUCAACUUUAU
rnacentral:lncRNA from 1 species